UGAUUCUAACAGGGAGAGAGAGAUAUUGGGGAAGAGAACCACUGGGCUUUUGAGAUGAUAGAAUGGAAGCCUGAAACUUGCCACCACCUGGAAAGGGUUUCCUGAAUGAAGCCAACAUAGGAGAGCAUAGACACAGCCUGGAAGCCACUCAACUAGAUGAUUCUGUAAUUCUCUGGAAGAAGACAGGAGAGACUCUGAAUACGGGACGAGACCAGCUGUGCCCUCUAACGGGCCUUAUGGGAGAAGAGGGUGCAUCUGCAUCAGCCUCCACUCCUUGUUCACCUCUUUGGAGCAGGCACACUUACAAACUACACUGGAUUGGGGAAGGGGAGUGUGUUCUUUCUGUCUGCCCAGUGAAGGAUGCCUCAGACCACCACCGAUCUAUGGAAUGCUGAUGCUCUUUGCCAGUGGAAUGAGCAUUUUCUUCUUGAUGUGAGCGUUGUUGACAUUUUCAUCAGCAGCCCAGGCUCUAAAAGCCACAUCUUGGCAAGAGAAGAGGUGAAAACUUACUCAAGCCUUUGCUCCAGGCCAUCA